rnacentral:lncRNA from 13 species
AUGAGACGACACACAACAUAUGAUGAAGACCUGCGAGAUGCUACCAGGAGGAAAAGCGAGAAGGACCCUGAGGAUAAACAACACGAAUCCACCAUUUACUCAUUCAGGACACGGGAGCAGGACACAGCAGCCACAGGCUUCCAGCGCUUCCUCAAUGUCCUCAACAAAGGGGUGGACAUCAACAAGCUCUCAAAUAUUGUCAACAACGUGAAUGAGUUACCCCCUAUGCAGGAGGGCCAUCCCAUGACUACCUACAGGAGUGAGUAUAAGGGGGCCCCAGCUCAGAGCUCUCAGGAUUGCUUGGGACCCCACAGUAGAGCUCUGCCACAGGACCACAGUCACUCACACAUUCUUGGAGAAAGGAGGCUGGAUCUCCCACACGGCCAGCUCCAGAGCCUGCUGGAGUCCAUCGGGCUAGACCUGGGGGUGGAGGAGUUGGGCCGACUGUCAGACCGGACCAAGGAGAGGCUGUACGGGAUGAAGAGAGACCAGGAGAGGAGUCCCCUGACGUCAGACAGGCACUCUAGAACUAGAGACUGGGACAGAGAACGAGACGAGGACACAGAGAGGAACGGAUCUAAGAGAAACGGAGAAAGAGACAGAGAGAGAGACUGGGUCAGUUCUGAGCGAGACCGAGAGAGAGACGGGGACAAAUCUGAGCGAGAUAGGGACAGGCGCUCUAAUACCAGGGACAGGCACUCUGGUUCCAGGGACAGGCGCUCUAGUACCAGGGACAGGGACAGACACUCUGGUUCCAGACACUCUGGUACCAGAGACAGCAACAGGGACAGGCGCUCUAGUACCAGGGACAGAGACGAGGACAGGCGCUCUAGUGCCAGGGACAGAGACGAGGACAGGCGCUCUAGUGCCAGGGACAGAAACAGGGACAGGCGCUCUAGUGCCAGGGACAGGCGCUCUAGUACCAGGGACAGGCGUUCUAAUACCAGGGACAGGCGCUCUAGUACCAGGGACAGGAACAGGCGCUCUAGUACCACGGACAGGCUCUUUACUAACAGGGACAGAGACAGGGACAGGUGCUCUAGCAGCAGAGAAAGGGACAGGCGCUCUAGUAACAGGGACCGAGACCGGGACAGGCGCUCUAGUAACAGGGACAGAGACAGGAACAGGCGCUGUAGUACCAGGGACUGUGACAGAGAUGGCGACUGGGCCGAAGGAAGCGACAAUGAUUGGUAUAGGGACAAGUCCAAGGAAAGCUCUGCUGAGCUCAACACNNNNNNNNNNAGGGACAGGCGCUCUAAUACCAGGGACAGGCACUCUGGUUCCAGGGACAGGCGCUCUAGUACCAGGGACAGGGACAGACACUCUGGUUCCAGACACUCUGGUACCAGAGACAGCAACAGGGACAGGCGCUCUAGUACCAGGGACAGAGACGAGGACAGGCGCUCUAGUGCCAGGGACAGAGACGAGGACAGGCGCUCUAGUGCCAGGGACAGAAACAGGGACAGGCGCUCUAGUGCCAGGGACAGGCGCUCUAGUACCAGGGACAGGCGUUCUAAUACCAGGGACAGGCGCUCUAGUACCAGGGACAGGAACAGGCGCUCUAGUACCACGGACAGGCUCUUUACUAACAGGGACAGAGACAGGGACAGGUGCUCUAGCAGCAGAGAAAGGGACAGGCGCUCUAGUAACAGGGACCGAGACCGGGACAGGCGCUCUAGUAACAGGGACAGAGACAGGAACAGGCGCUGUAGUACCAGGGACUGUGACAGAGAUGGCGACUGGGCCGAAGGAAGCGACAAUGAUUGGUAUAGGGACAAGUCCAAGGAAAGCUCUGCUGAGCUCAACACNNNNNNNNNNAGCCCACUAGCAACCCCCAGGUCACAUCUACCAAGCCCGCUAGCACCCGCCAGCUUACAUACAUCCAGACUGCUAGCAACCCCCAGGUCACACCUACCCAGCCCGAUAAUGAACUCAAGUUCACAAGCAUGGCUGUACUGACGCCAGCACUGAAAGUGUUGACCCCAGGCCCCAUCUCCUUGAACAAGGCCCAACAACUGAAGGAGCUGUCACCCCCCCGCUGUCUGCAUUACGUUAAGACGGUGGUGCCCAAGGGAAGCAAACGCCGCAUGAGACGGUCAAGAGUCACGAGAAAUAGGCAGGCGCUUGAAGAAAGGUGUAAUAAAUACAGGAAAGAGGUUCUGAGAAAGAGGAGAAUAUAUCGAGAUCUCCAAGGGAAGAGAGAUGGACUGAUUGCAAGAGCUGCAGCGAAAGUGGCCGCUCGGUUAGCUGCAAAGUACCCCAGGGCCCUCUCUGAAGCGGAGGCAGAGAGCGAUGUUGAAGGGGAGAAAAAAACAAUGCCAGAAGAAGUGAUUAAGGGGAAACUAAAGAAGAAGGUUUGUAAUUACUUCUGGAAGUACAUUAUUAUCAUUGGUACGAUAGACCGUGGCUUACUUCUAUGCUGUUCUCACUUUGUCGUUAUUGCUUGUGUCUUUUUGCUAGCGAUAUUAUUCACCAUUCAGUCAUAUUUUUAUUGACAUGCGAGUGUGUACCCGUUCUCAGCUUGAAGAGUUCAACCUGAAGAUGAAGCGGAAAUCGACGCAACAAACACCAACAUAAACUCAAAGGCAGUUUGUUGUAAGUAAAAGAAGUAGAAAUACUCUAUUGAUUUAAUCAAAGAAUCUGUAUUCUGGCGUGUUUACUCCACUUUGGUGAAAUUUGUAAAGUUGAGUUGUUUCCUAACUUAACGACCCUGGAAUAUUUGAUUUGGGUCAGUUAUGCAGUGAUUCUCUUAUCAAAUCAAGAAAGCAUGACUGUUUUUCUAUAAUAGCGAGUCAUUUGUCUCA